rnacentral:rRNA from 1 species
UGCAGUCGAGCGGUAGCACAGAGAGCUUGCUCUCGGGUGACGAGCGGCGGACGGGUGAGUAAUGUCUGGGAAACUGCCUGAUGGAGGGGGAUAACUACUGGAAACGGUAGCUAAUACCGCAUAACGUCGCAAGACCAAAGUGGGGGACCUUCGGGCCUCAUGCCAUCAGAUGUGCCCAGAUGGGAUUAGCUAGUAGGUGGGGUAACGGCUCACCUAGGCGACGAUCCCUAGCUGGUCUGAGAGGAUGACCAGCCACACUGGAACUGAGACACGGUCCAGACUCCUACGGGAGGCAGCAGUGGGGAAUAUUGCACAAUGGGCGCAAGCCUGAUGCAGCCAUGCCGCGUGUGUGAAGAAGGCCUUCGGGUUGUAAAGCACUUUCAGCGGGGAGGAAGGCGUUAAGGUUAAUAACCUUGUCGAUUGACGUUACCCGCAGAAGAAGCACCGGCUAACUCCGUGCCAGCAGCCGCGGUAAUACGGAGGGUGCAAGCGUUAAUCGGAAUUACUGGGCGUAAAGCGCACGCAGGCGGUCUGUCAAGUCGGAUGUGAAAUCCCCGGGCUCAACCUGGGAACUGCAUUCGAAACUGGCAGGCUAGAGUCUUGUAGAGGGGGGUAGAAUUCCAGGUGUAGCGGUGAAAUGCGUAGAGAUCUGGAGGAAUACCGGUGGCGAAGGCGGCCCCCUGGACAAAGACUGACGCUCAGGUGCGAAAGCGUGGGGAGCAAACAGGAUUAGAUACCCUG